UACGGAAGGUCCAGGCGUUAUCCGGAUUUAUUGGGUUUAAAGGGAGCGUAGGCCGUCUGUUAAGCGUGUUGUGAAAUGUAGAUGCUCAACAUCUGAAUUGCAGCGCGAACUGGCAGACUUGAGUGUGCGCAACGUAGGCGGAAUUCGUGGUGUAGCGGUGAAAUGCUUAGAUAUCACGAAGAACUCCAAUUGCGAAGGCAGCUUACGGGAGCACAACUGACGCUGAAGCUCGAAAGUGCGGGUAUCGAAC
rnacentral:rRNA from 1 species